ensembl:snRNA U6 U6 spliceosomal RNA
GUUCUUUCAGCAGUAUAUACAUUAAAUUUGGAACACUAGAGAGAGGCUGAGCAUGGCCCCUGCAUGAGGAUGACACACAGAAACUACAACAAGAUAAAGUAGAA